GGCCGCAUCACGCUGAAACACUGAUUCCCAUACGAACACUGAAAUUAAGCAACGUCCAGCCUGGUCAGUACCUAGAUGGGUGCCCGUUUGGAAAUACCAGGUGCGGUAA